AGGAGAAUAACAGUGUGAUUCUCCUUUGGCAGAGAUAUCACGCAUGGAGUAGAAGGCGGUAGCUGCUCUGCCAAAGGAGAAUUGCCCUGUUAUUCAAUU
rfam:Vitis vinifera, whole genome shotgun sequence of line PN40024, unoriented chromosome 10, chr10